CCGCGGGUGCGGUCGCCCCACGCAGAUGGCAGCGACUCCGCGAGGGGGCGCGGGCGGUCGCUCCGCCUCAGUGCCUCAGCAGUUCCCGCCUCAGCAUCCCCCGCCUCAGCGCCCCUCGCUUCAGUAGUUGCCGCCUCAGCAGUUCCCGCCUCAGCGCCCACCUCAGCGUCCCUGUGUCUGCGUCAGCAGUUCCCGCCUCAGCCUCUUGCUGCCUUCAGCCCACCUUAGAGUCCCUCAGGCCCCCGCAGGUCAGCAGCAGGGAACUUUGACAUAGGAUUGGAAGGAAGAUCAUCAAGAUGAUGUGUUCAUCUGAAAAGACCUUGCCUCCUAGAGUCAUCAUCUCACAGCUCUGAGGGAGCAUCUCACAGUCUCUGAGGGAGUGCAUCUGAAAGACAGUUGUCCUGGAAGAGUUAACAGAGAUUAAAGCAGAGAAAAGAAAAGAAG
ensembl:lncRNA